AUUAGUGCAUCAAAAUAUGCAAAUCCAGCUUACCAUCUCGCCGCUGUGGGAGUAAUUCCCCCACCGGUUCUUGGGUAUUUGAUUGCCGUUUUGAAAGCGAACAUUGCCUUGUUUGUUUUUGACGAAGCUCCGAGCGUGUGUGAGCGGUACGGAUCGGAAACAUGAAGUGAAGAAACCAAGGGUUCUGGCUGGGAAAUCGCCUGUGCAUAAUGCGACGACCUGCUCUGCCAUUCUCAAUGCUUCGACGCUGUUGGUUCCAGCGUAAAGGGUGGGGAUAGUGUGUCAUUACACCGUUUUCAACCAUCCCGCAACCAUCCUACAACCAUUCUCAAUAUGACAAAGCACCUUCAAUGAAUCCAGGCAUGUCUAUAUUUAUUUAUAGACCACUCAGGCUUUUAUGUGCUCUUUAGUAGAGCUCAUACUCUGUGACCCGUUUUUGCAUUCAAAUCGAUGGGGGAAUUCUUUUCAGUCUCCGAAAUGUGGACAAUUUCACUCAUAUUGUCGGACUGUCUUCUUUGUUGCAUUUUUUUCAUUGCAAAUACUCAGAAUAAAUGUAUGUUAACUGGCUAAAUGUAUCAUUGGGAUUAAUUAUGUUAUUUUAAUGUUAAGUGAGACAAACCUUGGUUGUAAAUGUCAAACAAAAGUCUGAAUUCUGAGUUCCCAUGAAUCUCAGUGCCAUAAUGUUGUACAAUUGGAAAAAAUAAACCAAGAAAUGCCAAAG